AGGAGUCGGCAAAACACAAGAUUAAAAUAAAUUUUUCAUUAUGUUGUUCAUCAAACUUUAAUUUUAUCGUUAUUUAAUAAAACAGCUAAUUCACUACAAGAUCCAAAGAACUUGACAAAGCUUAGUUAGUAUUUUAUAAUUUAGAAGACAGCCUCCGUAAUCAUGCACCGUUAAGAUGUUAAUACGUUUUUUGCAAUAGUGAUUAUUAAAACAAACUGGUUUAGCUCAUUAGGGAAUAAUGAGAAAAAGGUACACUCUUACAGAUGACGAUAUUAGAGAAUAUCAACUUGCUUUUUCGCAUCAUGACAAAAACAAG
rnacentral:lncRNA from 1 species